rnacentral:rRNA from 1 species
GACAGAGGAUGCAAGCGUUAUCCGGAAUGAUUGGGCGUAAAGCGUCUAUAGGUGGCUUUUCAAGUCCGCCGUCAAAUCCUAGGGCUCAACCCUAGACAGGCGGUGGAAACUACCAAGCUAGAGUACAGUAGGGGCAGAGGGAAUUUCCGGUGGAGCGGUGAAAUGCAUUGAGAUCGGAAAGAGCACCAAUGGCGAAAGCACUCUGCUGGGCCAACACUGACACUGAGAGACGAAAGCUAGGGGAGCAAAUGGG